GAGGCAGUAGCUUAACGGUAGGGUACUCGUCUGAUAUGCGAAGAAACCCGAGCUCGACCCCCGACUGCUCCG
rnacentral:tRNA from 1 species